rnacentral:tRNA from 1 species
GGAUAGUUGGAUGAGCGGUUGAAAUCGGCAGCCUCGAAAACUGUUAAAGUGGCAACACUUUCGGGGGUUCGAAUCCCCCACUAUCCGCCA